CCAGCAUUUUAGUUUCUCUCUAACCAGC
rnacentral:piRNA from 1 species